rnacentral:rRNA from 1 species
GCGGUACGCGAGCUGGGUUCAGACCGUCGUGAGACAGUUCGGUCCCUAUCCGUCGUGGGCGUAGGAAAUUUGAGAGGAGCUGUCCUUAGUACGAGAGGACCGGGAUGGACAUACCUCUGGUGUACCAGUUGUCGUGCCAACGGCAUAGCUGGGUAGCUAUGUGUGGACGGGAUAAGUGCUGAAAGCAUCUAAGCAUGAAGCCCCCCUCAAGAUGAGAUUUCCCAACUUCGGUUAUAAGAUCCCUCAAAGAUGAUGAGGUUAAUAGGUUCGAGGUGGAAGCAUGGUGACAUGUGGAGCUGACGAAUACUAAUCGAUCGAAGACUUAAUCAAAA